AUGGAGAGUUUGAUCCUGGCUCAGGACGAACGCUGGCGGCGUGCUUAACACAUGCAAGUCGAACGGAAAGGCCCUGCUUUUGUGGGGUGCUCGAGUGGCGAACGGGUGAGUAACACGUGAGUAACCUGCCCUUAACUCUGGGAUAAGCCUGGGAAACUGGGUCUAAUACCGGAUAGGACAAUCGUUUAGUGUCGGUUGUGGAAAGUUUUUUCGGUUAGGGAUGAGCCCGCGGCCUAUCAGCUUGUUGGUGGGGUAAUGGCCUACCAAGGCGUCGACGGGUAGCCGGCCUGAGAGGGUGGACGGCCACAUUGGGACUGAGAUACGGCCCAGACUCCUACGGGAGGCAGCAGUGGGGAAUAUUGCACAAUGGGCGCAAGCCUGAUGCAGCGACGCCGCGUGAGGGAUGACGGCCUUCGGGUUGUAAACCUCUUUCGACAGGGACGAAGCUUUGGUGACGGUACCUGUAUAAGAAGCACCGGCUAACUACGUGCCAGCAGCCGCGGUAAUACGUAGGGUGCAAG
rnacentral:rRNA from 1 species